rnacentral:rRNA from 1 species
AUUGAACGCUGGCGGCAGGCUUAACACAUGCAAGUCGAGCGAGCGGCGGACGGGUGAGUAAUGUCUGGGAAACUGCCUGAUGGAGGGGGAUAACUACUGGAAACGGUAGCUAAUACCGCAUACCAUCAUAUGUGCCCAGAUGGGAUUAGCUAGUAGGUGGGGUAAUGGCUCACCUAGGCGACGAUCCUCAUCUGGUCUGAGAGGAUGACCAGCCACACUGGAACUGAGCCACGGUCCAGACUCCUAGGGGAGGGAGCAGUGGGGAAUAUUGCACAAUGGGCGCAAGCCUGAUGCAGCCAUGCCGCGUGUGUGAAGAAGGCCUUGGGGUUGAAAAGCACUUUCAGAGAGGAGGCGUUACUCGCAGAAGAAGCACCGGCUAACUACGUGCCAGCCGCCGCGGUAAUU